rnacentral:sRNA from 1 species
CCGCCCGUCACACCAUGAGAGUUGGUAAUACCAGAAGCACGUAUCUUAACCGUAAGGAGGGAGCGUACCAAGGUAGGAUUAGCGAUUAGGGUGAAGUCGUAACAAGGUAUCCGUACGGGAACGUGCGGAUGGAUCACCUCCUUUCUAUGGAGUAUUCGUAGAUUAAGAGAAAAAGCUGAGUGAAACGAUAAAACAGCUUAUGAUUAUAUCUCGUUCUAUCUAGUUUUCAGAGAUUGUUUAACGGGCCAUUAGGCCCAAACAAUUUCUGUAAAGAAAAUCGUUCUUUGAAAACUGAAUAUUAGAUGAAAAUAGACAUUUUAUUUUUCUUACGUUUAUAAACAAUAUAAAUGUAGUAGUAACUUAUUUAAGAUUAAUACUAAGAAAACUAAAAUUUCAUUAAUUUUAUAGAUUAUCUAUAUAUGCAAUAGGUUUUUCUUUAGAAAGUAUAGUAAGGGCGUAUGGUGAAUGCCUUGGAAAAUGGAGCCGAUGAAGGACGCGACUACCUGCGAUAAGCGCCGGGGAGCUGGAAGUAAGCUUUGAUCCGACGAUGUCCGAAUGGGGAAACCCAGCACGAUUAAUCUCGUGUUAUCCAUAACUGAAUACAUAGGUUAUGUGAAGGGAACCUUGGGAACUGAAACAUCUUAGUACCAAGAGGAAAAGAAAACGAAUGUGAUUCUGUCAGUAGCGGCGAGCGAAAGCGGAACAGGCCAAACCGGUCUACGGGCCGGGGUUGUAGGACUCUUGUUAGAGUUACAAAGUUAGUGUAUAGCAGAAGCUGUUGGGAAGCAGCACCGCAGAGGGUGAUAGUCCCGUAUGCGAAAUGCACUAACCUCGAGAGAGUAUCCUGAGUACGGCGGGGCACGAGAAACCCUGUCGGAAUCUACCCAGACCACUGGGUAAGCCUAAAUACUACCAUUUUACCGAUAGUGAACCA